rnacentral:rRNA from 1 species
GCGAACGGGUGAGUAACACGUGGGCAAUCUGCCCUGCACUCUGGGACAAGCCCUGGAAACGGGGUCUAAUACCGGAUAUGACCUGGGAGCGCAUGCUUCUGGGUGGAAAGCUUCGGUGGUGCAGGAUGAGCCCGCGGCCUAUCAGCUUGUUGGUGGGGUGAUGGCCUACCAAGGCGACGACGGGUAGCCGGCCUGAGAGGGCGACCGGCCACACUGGGACUGAGACACGGCCCAGACUCCUACGGGAGGCAGCAGUGGGGAAUAUUGCACAAUGGGCGGAAGCCUGAUGCAGCGACGCCGCGUGAGGGAUGACGGCCUUCGGGUUGUAAACCUCUUUCAGCAGGGAAGAAGCGCAAGUGACGGUACCUGCAGAAGAAGCACCGGCUAACUACGUGCCAGCAGCCGCGGUAAUACGUAGGGUGCGAGCGUUGUCCGGAAUUAUUGGGCGUAAAGAGCUCGUAGGCGGCUUGUCGCGUCGGAUGUGAAAGCCCGGGGCUUAACCCCGGGUCUGCAUUCGAUACGGGCAGGCUAGAGUGUGGUAGGGGAGAUCGGAAUUCCUGGUGUAGCGGUGAAAUGCGCAGAUAUCAGGAGGAACACCGGUGGCGAAGGCGGAUCUCUGGGCCAUUACUGACGCUGAGGAG